AACAGGGAUUGCCCUAGUAACGGCGAGUGAAGCGGCAACAGCUCAAAUUUGAAAUCUGGCUCUUUCAGAGUCCGAGUUGUAAUUUGCAGAGGGCGCUUUGGCGUUGGCAGCGGUCCAAGUUCCUUGGAACAGGACGUCACAGAGGGUGAGAAUCCCGUACGUGGUCGCUGGCCUUCGCCGUGUAAAGCCCCUUCGACGAGUCGAGUUGUUUGGGAAUGCAGCUCUAAAUGGGAGGUAAAUUUCUUCUAAAGCUAAAUACUGGCCAGAGACCGAUAGCGCACAAGUAGAGUGAUCGAAAGAUGAAAAGCACUUUGGAAAGAGAGUCAAAUAGCACGUGAAAUUGUUGAAAGGGAAGCGCUUGCAGCCAGACUUGCCUGUAGUUGCUCAUCCGGGCUUUUGCCCGGUGCACUCUUCUGCGGGCAGGCCAGCAUCAGUUUGGGCGGUUGGAUAAAGGUCUCUGUCAUGUACCUCCUUUCGGGGAGGCCUUAUAGGGGAGACGUCAUGCAACCAGCCUGGACUGAGGUCCGCGCAUUUAUGCUAGGAUGCUGGCGUAAUGGCUGUAAGCGGCCCGUCUUGAAACACGGACCAAGGAGUCUAACAUCUAUGCGAGUGUUUGGGUGUCAAGCCCGAACGCGUAAUGAAAGUGAACGGAGGUGGGACCCCUUUAGGGUGCACCAUCGACCGAUCCUGAUGUCUUCGGAUGGAUUUGAGUAAGAGCAUGGCUGUUGGGACCCGAAAGAUGGUGAACUAUGCUUGAAUAGGGUGAAGCCAGAGGAAACUCUGGUGGAGGCUCGCAGCGGUUCUGACGUGCAAAUCGAUCGUCAAAUUUGGGCAUAGGGGCGAAAGACUAAUCGAACUAUCUAGUAGCUGGUCCUGCGU
rnacentral:rRNA from 1 species